CUGUGCUCCAGCGCCUGGGAAGGGGAGUCUCCGGAGCGAGGGGGAGAAGGACAGCUGGAUGACUCAGUGAGCUGAGAGCCAGACCUGGAGACAGGAGGUCCUGGGUUUCAGAUACUUCCCAGCUGUGUGACCCUGGGCAAGUCACUUAACCCCCACUGCUUGGCCCUUAAUCAGCCUUCUGCCUUGGAACCAAUAUGUAGUAUUGAUUCUGAGAUGGAAGAUAUAUUCCCUUGAGGAUCCACGUUGGUUCCUGCCUGACCCUCUUGGAGGUCAAAGUUCUGGGCACAUAAGAAACUCAGUAAAUAGUUUUUCU
rnacentral:lncRNA from 1 species